rnacentral:rRNA from 1 species
AGAAUCAACGCUGGCGGCGUGCCUAACACAUGCAAGUCGAACGAGAAAGGGUAGCAAUACCUGAGUAAAGUGGCGCACGGGUGAGUAACACGUGACUAACCUACCUUUUAGUGGGGGAUAACCUAGGGAAACCUGGGCUAAUACCGCAUAAUACCUACGGGUCAAAGCAGCAAUGCGCUGGAAGAGGGGGUCGCGGCCGAUUAGCUAGUUGGCGGGGUAAUGGCCCACCAAGGCAGUGAUCGGUAUCCGGCCUGAGAGGGCGCACGGACACACUGGAACUGAAACACGGUCCAGACUCCUACGGGAGGCAGCAGUGGGGAAUUUGCGCAAUGGGGGAAACCCUGACGCAGCAACGCCGCGUGGAGGAUGAAGACCCUUGGGUCGUAAACUCCUUUCGAUCGGGACGAUAAUGACGGUACCGGAAGAAGAAGCCCCGGCUAACGUUCGCGCCAGCAGCCGC